rnacentral:rRNA from 2 species
AGACCCGAAACCCGGUGAUCUAGCCAUGGGCAGGUUGAAGGUUGGGUAACACUAACUGGAGGACCGAACCGACUAAUGUUGAAAAAUUAGCGGAUGACCUGUGGCUGGGGGUGAAAGGCCAAUCAAACCGGGAGAUAGCUGGUUCUCCCCGAAAGCUAUUUAGGUAGCGCCUCGUGAAUUCAUCUCCGGGGGUAGAGCACUGUUUCGGCUAGGGGGCCAUCCCGGCUUACCAACCCGAUGCAAACUGCGAAUACCGGAGAAUGUUAUCACGGGAGACACACGGCGGGUGCUAACGUCCGUCGUGAAGAGGGAAACAACCCAGACCGCCAGCUAAGGUCCCAAAGUCAUGGUUAAGUGGGAAACGAUGUGGGAAGGCCCAGACAGCCAGGAUGUUGGCUUAGAAGCAGCCAUCAUUUAAAGAAAGCGUAAUAGCUCACUGGUCGAGUCGGCCUGCGCGGAAGAUGUAACGGGGCUAAACCAUGCACCGAAGCUGCGGCAGCGAACGUAUCACCCAAGACAACUUUACGGAGUUGACGAUUGACGGAGCGAAGCGACGUCAAAGCGUUCAUUAAAGUCGAGUUGGCUUAGGGAUACGUUCGUUGGGUAGGGGAGCGUUCUGUAAGCCUGUGAAGGUGGCCUGUGAGGGUUGCUGGAGGUAUCAGAAGUGCGAAUGCUGACAUAAGUAACGAUAAAGCGGGUGAAAAGCCCGCUCGCCGGAAGACCAAGGGUUCCUGUCCAACGUUAAUCGGGGCAGGGUGAGUCGACCCCUAAGGCGAGGCCGAAAGGCGUAGUCGAUGGGAAACGGGUUAAUAUUCCCGUACUUGGUGUUACUGCGAAGGGGGGACGGAGAAGGCUAUGUUGGCCGGGCGACGGUUGUCCCGGUUUAAGCGUGUAGGUGUGUGUUCCAGGUAAAUCCGGUUCACUUUAACACUGAGGCGUGACGACGAGGCACUACGGUGCUGAAGCAACAAAUGCCCUGCUUCCAGGAAAAGCCUCUAAGCAUCAGGUAACAUCAAAUCGUACCCCAAACCGACACAGGUGGUCAGGUAGAGAAUACCAAGGCGCUUGAGAGAACUCGGGUGAAGGAACUAGGCAAAAUGGUGCCGUAACUUCGGGAGAAGGCACGCUGACA